CGCCAAUUGUUCUUCAUCAAUGUUCUCCAAUAAUUUCACGAAAUCGCCUUAAAAAUCACAGAUUAUUCUUCAUCCAUCAACCACCUAAUUCUCGCCCGUGCGUGCAGUAUAAAAUACAGUACUCUUGAUGUUGGAACCGUAAUACUUACCUUCAUUGGCAUUACAGAAAUCAAGAAAUGGACUGCAGAGAACAAGCUCUGUUUGAAUGACAGCAAGACAGAGCGCAUUGGGAUCUGUCUUUGACGGAAUACGCUCUACAAGAGUGAUUUAUUAUUAUCAUCAGUGUUGUAGCCACGGUGGGCGGGCCUGCCCAGUACUGACAUUUUCCGCCCGGCACUUCAGCUGAAAAACAGACUUCCAAUACCACAACUAGAUCCAAUGGGAAGAGGUUAAAUCAAGGAAGAGGCUGAGUGAGAAGAAUGCAGAGGACUUGAAGCAUAUGGAUAAAAGACGAAGAGACAACCAGGAGCUCCACAGGUUGCGUAGAGAACCCUACAGAAGUACUUUCGACGAUCAGUAACGUCUAGACAAACAGUAAGUACAGUCUUUCUUAUGAUUUUUCUCCUGUAGAUGAUCAGCGUAUAUUAAUAGAAACAUGAGACUUUAACCAAUAGUUCUUUUCCGAACCAACACUACUCAUAAAGAGACUCACAUGGUGUUAUCGCAAAAUGUUCUUAUAGUUAUAAUUCCACCAUACAAAGUUUCAAAUUCUACUAAUGGUGGUGGGCAUCAAAUAGGUGGGGGUGGGGGUGUGACAA